CCCACGAACCGAGAGAUCAUGACCUGAGCCGAAGUUGGACCCUUAACCGACCGAGCCACCCAGGUGCCCCUUUCACUUCCUCCCUUGAACCGCCUGCACGGCCCCGCGAUGCCCUCUUCAUCUCCCGGUCCUCACCCUGACUCCACAGGCAUGGGUUCUUUGAAGUGCUAUCCGAGCUGUUUUUAUUGUGCAGCUCUGUGUUUGUGACACGUCUGUCCACACCAGCGUGUGUCUCAGACCACAAGACCCCUGAGGCGUGGGGCUCAGCAGCGUAAUCCUCUCCACGUGGAAUGCCUCGCCGACACGUGGAGGAGCAACCAGCGGGCCAGCAAGUCUUUCUCCCUCAUUUCUGUCCCUCCUUCCCUGGGCUUUGCCCCAGAGGCAGACAUUAGGCAUAGAAUUAGUGAGGGGACUUUCAGAGCAGGGGUAAGGGGGCCAAAGGGAUGGAGAGGGGAAGAAAAAA